GAUGAAGAACGUAGCGAAAUGCGAUAAGUAGUGUGAAUUGCAGACUUUAGUGAAUCAUCGAAUCUUUGAACGCACAUUGCGCCCCUUGGUAUUCCAUUGGGCAUGCCUGUUCGAGCGUCAUUUACAACCUCAAGCUCCGCUUGGUGUUGGGUGUCUGUCUGCGCUUCUUGCGAAGACUCGCCCUAAAUCUAUUGGCAGCGGCAUCGCCGGCUUCUCGCGCAGUACAAUGCGUUAUGGAAGGCUACCGGCGGGCUUGCGUCCAUCAAGUAACCCCCCAAGUUUGACCUCGAAUCAGGUAGGGAUACCCGCUGAACUUAAGCAUAGCAAUAAGCGGAGGA
rnacentral:misc_RNA from 1 species